GAUGUGCUCCCUUGCUUCAGCAGCUGGAUGUGCUGGUGGGGGUUUGUGACUGAGACUCAGGAGGUCAUCUACCGCUUUGAGAUACCUACCCCUGGUCUGGGCACCAGGAAGGUGGAUGCGCUGACCGGCGCGGUACCCUCGGCAUGCUCGGGCUCCGAGGAGUCUCUGGAUUUGGACUGAGCAAUAACUAUUUACACACAGAGAAGCUAUGAGUUCUCCUCUUUUCAUAUGAGCCUUCUUUCUUGGAGAAUGCAUGAGGUAAAGGAGAAUGUACCAGAACUGCAUUCUACCACUUUGCACAGGUUGAUCUUGAAGUCCCUCCAGUUUCUGAGAGUGACAGAUGGCUCUCCUUGCAACUUGCCCAAGGUCAGUCUGAAAACUAGAUUCUGAAGAGACCAAGAGGAAUUUUCAGACUUCGGAGAGAAGGACCUCAAAAUGGUCAUUACAAGCUAAUUUGCUCUGCCAUGGUGGAGUAUGAGGCUGAGCAGAUUCCUCAAUUUCUCUGAACCUUGACAACGAAUUAUAACAACAAUAACAGCCCUGCCUCAUGAGACCUUUGUGUUGCUUGUUUGCCACAAGAAUGUGAAGUUUUUAGCACAUCACCUGCACUUAGUAAGGCUCGGUGGAUGCAAUAUGUGCUCAAUGUUUCAGAAAAGGAACAAUAGGAAACUAUAAUAACUGAUUUUUCCCCCGACCAAUAAGAAAAUCGAAGAGAAAAGAACAUUUGAAACGUCACCUUGUGAUCUAACCUAGCCAAGCCAGACAUUAGUGUAAGAAAAGUAGCACUCAGCACUUAUCUCUCUGCAGAGUAUAGGGCUACAUGCCUGUGAUCCCACUAUGAGAGGCACAGAGGCAGCAGGGUCCUGACCCUGAGGCCAGCCUGGGGCACAUUACCAUUUCACUCCAAACAAAAGAACAUCUGCUGGAGGUGGAAGCCCAUGUUUGUAAUGUUAGUAUUUGGGAGGUAGAGGGUAGGAGAAUCAUGAGUUCAAGGCCAGUCUCAGCCACAUAAUGAGCAAUAGGCCAACCUGGGAUACCUAACACACUCUCAAACAAUAAAAAUAACAUUUUAUCUCUCACAAAAUCUAAACAUUCUCAAAGUUUCAAACUUUGAGAAGCACAUUAAGCAGAGAUCAACAGUUACACCAUCAUGUGAACAAGGAAUUGCCAGAAACUCAAAAGCUCUGGGGUUGGGCCCAAGGCCCCGCCCUCCUGCAUGCCCACUGAUGAGCAGAGUCCUUACAGCAGCACCAUCUUGUAGGUGGAAGUUUCUGUCUGCUCCCAAACAACCACACAGGAAGGUAUUAUUAAUAAUAAGUUUUAAUAAUUAACUUGGCUGAUAGCUUAGGCUUGUCUCCAGGCAGCUCUUACAACUUAAAUUAACCCAUUUCUAUUCUUCCUCCCAGCAUUCUCUCUGCCCCCAAAUUCCUGCCUAGCCAUCUACCGAUGAGCUUUUUAUUAACAGUGAGAGCAACACAUCUUCACAGUGUACAGAAAUAUUGUUCCACAGCACCAUCUCCUUACCUUGAAAACAACUCCUUUACGAUAUUUACAUCUGCUUUUGAAAUUCUGAAAGUUGAACUACUGUGAAUUUAUCCAGAGUGAGUAGAUUCCCUGGAGAUUUAUGGUUAUUUGUUACCUUAAUGGAAUGUGAAAUUUCUAAUUUGGUUGCAAGUCUCACUGUUCUAGGAAGAUUUCAAUCCAGCACCAAUUACAAAGAGGGAUCCUACCCUCUGUGCAAAGAAGAAAGAGAAACUGAGGAGGAAGACUGAGAUGAGUCUCUGAGACAGGAGAGAAGGGUUCCCAAACAGCUCAUGAUCCAGGGAUGAAGGUUUACACCUGUAAUCCCAGUGUUCAUGAAGCUGAGGCAGGAGGGUUACUCCAAGUUCCCUCGAGGCCAGUCAGAGUGAGACCCUGUCUCAAAAAGUCAAACUGCAAAUUGAAAACGGGUCUGUAAACAAGCUGGCUAUUGUCAUGUUACCACUGAGCAGACAGGCAGAGUUAGAAGAUGGAACAAUGCCAGACUUGUCCCAAGAGAGGCUGGGAAAUCUGCUUCACUGAGCACUGGGAUGGGCCAUGGAGCAACUUGCCAGGAGAUUAACACACCCAGGGCGGACCUGACCUGACUCCAGCCCAGGUUCUGUAGUGCUCAUGCUGCUCAGAGUUCACUGUGUCAGGGAACCACACGGAGUCUCGGUAAAGGAAACCACACGGAGUCUCCGUAAAGGAAACCACAUGGAGUCUCGGUAAAGGGCAGGGGUUCAGUAGCCUGGGCUGGGCUCUGAUACUCUGUCUCUCCCCCAGACUCCCAGGCAACUGGGAUGCUGGCAUAGAGCCUUACAUCAUGAGCAGGAGAGGGAGAAGGGUCAUUCAGAACUCUCUCCUCUCUCUCAGUCACUCAGCCAGUAGCAAACCAACAGAGAGUCUGAGAACGAGAAGCGUCUAAGAAAACAAUGGCUCUGAAAACAGUCUUCUCCCCAAAGUACAGUACAAAAAGCAGGGAAGCUAGCCUCAUUUCAGAGAAAGGCUCGUCUUGGAACUUUGCAACCCAAAGAAGUCCCAAAUGAAAGGACACUGGGGGCCAGCUCUGGGCUUCCUUCACUGUAAAGCGGAUGCUGGGCAAUGAGGGAAAAUGCCGAGGUCCCCCCUCAAGAGAAGCAGAUGGCCCAAGACUGC